UACGUAGGGGGCGAGCGUUAUCCGGAAUUACUGGGUGUAAAGGGAGCGUAGACGGCGAGGUAAGCCUGAAGUGGAAGCCCGCGGCCCAACCGCGGAACUGCUUUGGGAGCUGUUUUGCUGGAGUAUGGGAGGGGUAAGCGGAAUUCCUGGUGUAGCGGUGAAAUGCGUAGAUAUCAGGAGGAACACCGGUGGCGAAGGCGGCUUACUGGACCAUAACUGACGUUGAGGCUCGAAAGCGUGGGGAGCGAACAGG
rnacentral:rRNA from 1 species